GACGAACGCUGGCGGCGUGCUUAACACAUGCAAGUCGAACGGAAAGGCCCUGCUUUUGUGGGGUGCUCGAGUGGCGAACGGGUGAGUAACACGUGAGUAACCUGCCCUUGACUUUGGGAUAACUUCAGGAAACUGGGGCUAAUACCGGAUAGGAGCUCCUGCUGCAUGGUGGGGGUUGGAAAGUUUCGGUGGUUGGGGAUGGACUCGCGGGUUAUCAGCUUGUUGGUGGGGUAGUGGCUUACCAAGGCUUUGACGGGUAGCCGGCCUGAGAGGGUGACCGGCCACAUUGGGACUGAGAUACGGCCCAGACUCCUACGGGAGGCAGCAGUGGGGAAUAUUGCACAAUGGGCGGAAGCCUGAUGCAGCAACGCCGCGUGCGGGAUGACGGCCUUCGGGUUGUAAACCGCUUUCGCCUGUGACGAAGCGUGAGUGACGGUAAUGGGUAAAGAAGCACCGGCUAACUACGUG
rnacentral:rRNA from 1 species